rnacentral:misc_RNA from 1 species
UCCCCGUUAACAUUGGGUACCAUCCUACUGAAGAUGUGAAAAUCUUGUCUAAAGUUUACCAUCUCAUAAUAAAAAGAAUACUGUACAAGUACGAUUUCUUUUCUUUCUCCUAUGGCUGUACAAGUAAUCUUUUUCAUGGGCUUCCUACAGGACCCGCAAUUUAUGGAGAAGCCUGCCUGAGAAGUGGCAGAGAAUUUAUUCU